rnacentral:RNase_MRP_RNA from 1 species
AAGCACGGCUUCGCAGCGCACAGACGAGGAGCUUGCUCCUGAUGAUGCUGCGGGGAAAGUCCCCGUGCCUAUGGGCAGAGAGUGUCAGCGGGAGACCGCAA